AGAGUAGGAGUUAUGGGAUGAAGUGGAGGGUGAGUACUAUUACGAGGUAGAGGAGCUGGAAGAAUACGAGUAGGAGGCAGACUACAAGGAGGAGGAAGAUUAGAAGGGGGACUAUAGACGAAAGACAAGGACUAAUAGUAGUAGGAGUAGGUGGAGGAGGACAUGUAGUAGGACUAGGAGGAGGAGUAGAACUAGUACGAGGACUAGAAGGAGGACAAGUAGCAGAAGGAAGAGGCAGCAGCAGCAUCUGCCGAGCAGCCAGCCAGACCACCAGGACAGGUCAUGACCAAAAAUGCUGUGAUCAUCCCAGAGAGAGCAGAAACAGAGGCAGCAUCGGAGCUAAGCUGACCCGACUUCGACUGAAACCGGUUCCUCUACCAAGCCUUCUUCUGGCGAAUGUCUGAGAACCGUUUUACUACCAAAACUGCCUGGUGCUCAAACGCAGUUAAAGUGGGUGGACAGUGUUCAACAGAUGUCCAAUUUCUCAUGCUCAGAUGUUGGCCAUAUUAUCUGCCCAGAGAAUUCUCCAGUGUCUUUACUGUUGCUGUGUACAUUCCUCUGGACGCAAAUUUAAAAAAUGCGCUGCAGGAAUUGUUAGAUGUCAUCAGCAGAAACAUGACUAAACAACUGGAUGGAAUUUUCAUUGUAGCUGGUGGUUUUAAUCAAACAGACCUCAGAACUGUUUUACCCAAAUUCCAGCAACAUGUUCAGAUCCCCACCGGAGGAAGAAAUUGACCACGUGUAUACAAAUAUUCCUGGCAGCUACAAAGCCCUCCCACGUCCUCACUUUGGCCUAUCAGAUCAUCUUUCUCUGCUUCUGCUGCCUACUCACUCUCAGCUCUUUCCAAAAAACAAAAGCCAAAAAAGAUGCCUUUCAGUCAGGCGACAAGGAAGCAUACAAUACUGCCAGAGCAGGACUGAAAGCUGGCAUCAAGGAGGCAAAGAGGAGACAUCGGCAGAGACCAGAAAGGGACCUCAAGGACUACACCAUUAAAGAUACGUGGCAGGUGAUGCAAAAUGUCACAGGCUUCAGGAGCAGGAGUGCCCCCAUCAUGUAUGAAGCGCCGUUGCCGGAUGGACAUUUCAUGCUCCUGUUUAGCUCCGUCACCUUCAGAGGACCAGCCACUGUCAGUAACCCCAGAUGGUCUUGGAGAAAGGGAAUAUAAUUAACGCUGCGGGUCCAGAUAUUAUACCUGACUGUGCAGUAAAGAGGCACUAAUCAGCUAGCCGAUGUUAUUAUUGACAUUUUUUAACAUCUCACACUAACAGGAGACUGCUCCCUCCUGCCUCAAGACAGCCACCAUCUUUCCUAUACCUUAAAAGUCUCCUUUGUCUCCAUCCUCUAGGGGGCCUGCAAAACCCCACCAACUGUGACCUCAUCCCGCCUAUGCUUUGCUGAAUGAAUAAAUGGAAAGUGACUGUGACCAUACUCAAUUUACAGAGCUGGUAAAUA